rnacentral:tRNA from 1 species
GGCCUUGUAGCUCAGCUGGUACAGCGUGCGCAUACUAAACGUAGACGGCGUCUAUGCGUGGGUUCGAAUCCCACCGAAGCUA